rnacentral:rRNA from 1 species
GAUGAACGCUGGCGGCGUGCCUAAUACAUGCAAGUCGAGCGAACGGACGAGAAGCUUGCUUCUCUGAUGUUAGCGGCGGACGGGUGAGUAACACGUGGAUAACCUACCUAUAAGACUGGGAUAACUUCGGGAAACCGGAGCUAAUACCGGAUAAUAUUUUGAACCGCAUGGUUCAAAAGUGAAAGACGGUCUUGCUGUCACUUAUAGAUGGAUCCGCGCUGCAUUAGCUAGUUGGUAAGGUAACGGCUUACCAAGGCAACGAUGCAUAGCCGACCUGAGAGGGUGAUCGGCCACACUAGAACUGAGACACGGUCCAGACUCCUACGGGAGGCAGCAGUAGGGAAUCUUCCGCAAUGGGCGAAAGCCUGACGGAGCAACGCCGCGUGAGUGAUGAAGGUCUUCGGAUCGUAAAACUCUGUUAUUAGGGAAGAACAUAUGUGUAAGUAACUGUGCACAUCUUGACGGUAUCUAAUCAGAAAGCCACGGCUAACUACGUG